rnacentral:tRNA from 1 species
GAAAGAGUUCCACCAGACUGCUAAUCUGGUACUCCA